CUGAAGAAAUGUUAGGGUUGAGCUGGCUCUUCGGAGUAUGUGCUCGCUCUAUCACCUUUCCUCUUUUCCUCCUGUGCACUUUUGUAGGCUACGAAGACUUUAUCAGUCGAAAGACUGGUUUGAAGACUUGCUUAAUUGGCAUGUCUUUGCCUUUCGUAGUCUAUGUUUUACAAACUCUAUAAAGUCUAGAAUGCUGUAGUUGGUCUUAAUGACCGAUAAAAUCUAUA
rnacentral:misc_RNA from 1 species